GACGAACGCUGGCGGCGUGCCUAAUACAUGCAAGUAGAACGCUGAAGGAGGAGCUUGCUCUUCUGGAUGAGUUGCGAACGGGUGAGUAACGCGUAGGUAACCUGCCUGGUAGCGGGGGAUAACUAUUGGAAACGAUAGCUAAUACCGCAUAAGAGUAGAUGUUGCAUGACAUUUACUUAAAAGGUGCAAUUGCAUCACUACCAGAUGGACCUGCGUUGUAUUAGCUAGUUGGUGGGGUAACGGCUUACCAAGGCGACGAUACAUAGCCGACCUGAGAGGGUGAUGGGCGACACUUGGACUGAGACACGGCGCAGACUCCUACGGGAGGCAGCAGUAGGGAAUGUUCGGCAAUGGACGGAAGUCUGACCGAGCAACGCCGCGUGAGUGAAGAAGGGUUUCGGAUCGUACAGCUCUGGUGUAAGAGAAGAACGAGUGAGAGAGUGUAAAGUCCACGCGAUGACGGGAUAUUACCAGACAGGAACGGCUAACUAAGUG
rnacentral:rRNA from 1 species